rnacentral:rRNA from 1 species
AGGCUGUUCGAGUGCCUCUGUUGUCGACUGCAUCGUUGCCUUGGAAACCCGUUCCCUUACCGUUUGCCUCAUGCGGGGCAGUACCAUGUAUAUAACAUACCUAUAACGUCGUUCUAACUUCGGGAAACCGGAGCUAAUACCGUAUAAUAUAUUGAACCGCAUGGUUGAAUAUUGAAAGACGGUAUUGCUGUCACUUAUACGUGGAUCCGCGCCGCAUUACCUAGUUGGUAAGGUAACGGCUUACCAAGGCAACGAUGCGUAGCCGACCUGAAAGGGUGAUCGGCCACACUGUAACUGAGACACGGUACAAACUCCUACGGGAGGCAGCAGUAGGGAAUCUUCCGCAAUGGGCGAAAGCCUGACGGAGCAACGCCGCGUGAGUGAUGAAGGUCUUCGGAUCGUAAAACUCUGUUAUUAGGGAAGAACAAAUGUGUAAGUAACUAUGCACGUCUUGACGGUACCUAAUCAAAAAGCCACGGCUAACUACGUGCCAGCAGCCGCGGUAAUACGUAGGUGGCAAGCGUUAUCCGGAAUUAUUGGGCGUAAAGCGCGCGUAGGCGGUUUUUUAAGUCUGAUGUGAAAGCCCACGGCUCAACCGUGGAGGGUCAUUGGAAACUGGAAAACUUGAGUGCAGAAGAGGAAAGUGGAAUUCCAUGUGUAGCGGUGAAAUGCGCAGAGAUAUGGAGGAACACCAGUGGCGAAGGCGACUUUCUGGUCUGUAACUGACGCUGAUGUGCGAAAGCGUGGGGAUCAAACAGGAUUAGAUACCCUGGUAGUCCACGCCGUAAACGAUGAGUGCUAAGUGUUAGGGGGUUUCCGCCCCUUAGUGCUGCAG